rnacentral:tRNA from 1 species
AGUGAUUUAGCUCAAUGGUAGAGCUCUUGCCUACCAUGCAGAAGGCCUGAGUUCAAUCCUCAGUACUG